rnacentral:rRNA from 1 species
UGCGAAGGGGGCUAGCGUUGUUCGGAAUUACUGGGCGUAAAGGGCGCGUAGGCGGCGUGUCAAGUCAGGCGUGAAAGCCCCGGGCUCAACCUGGGAACCGCGCUUGAGACUGGCAUGCUCGAGUUCGGGAGAGGAUGGUGGAAUUCCCAGUGUAGAGGUGAAAUUCGUAGAUAUUGGGAAGAACACCGAUGGCGAAGGCAGCCAUCUGGACCGACACUGACGCUGAGGCGCGAAAGCGUGGGGAGCAAACAGG